UUCCAUUAAUUCCAAACCCUCUUCCCUUCCCUGCACUGCAACUCUAUAAAAAUAUGCACUACUAGUGAAUUAGAGAGAGAGAGAGAGAGAGAGAGAGAGAUGCCGGGUUGGGGACCGCCGCCGGGAGGACCUCCAGGGCCGGCAGGGCCAUGUGGCUGCUGCGCUUUCUGUUGUGAUGGAAUUUUCAGGCUUUUUUCUUCAUGUUUCUAUCUCUUGUGCUGCUGUUGCAUCCUAGAGAACUGCUGUGGACCUAUGUUUGGUGGGCCACCUGGACCCCCUGGCCCACCUGGCGGGCCCCCUGGACCUCCCCCGCCAUGGUAGAUAGAUCACGUGUCGUGUGUUAUAUAUCGAUCACGAGUACAUUUCAUGUAUAUGUAUGUAAUGCAACUCCAUAUAUCAACCUAGCUAGUAGCUACCUAUUUCAAAUUUGACAAGAUGUUGUAUUAAAAUCGUUUCCUUGGUAUUUCACUGUUUGCCCUCUUCUACGCUUA